UACAGAGGGGGCAAGCGUUAUUCGGAAUUAUUGGGCGUAAAGGGCGCGUAGGCGGCUUUGCAAGUGACGGGGUGAAAGCCCUCGGCUUAACCGAGGAACUGCCUGUCAGACUGUGAGGCUUGAGACCGGGGAGAGGUGAGUGGAAUUCCCAGUGUAGCGGUGAAAUGCGUAGAUAUUGGGGAGGAACACCAGUGGCGAAGGCGGCUCACUGGACCGGAACUGACGCUGAGGCGCGAAAGCGUGGGGGAGCAAACAGG
rnacentral:rRNA from 1 species